rnacentral:RNase_P_RNA from 1 species
UAAUCGCGCCUGAUAUUCAGGUGAGGAAAGUCCGUGCAUUCAAGGACAGGUUGCCGGAGAAACUCCGGACGGCGUGAGCCGGUGGAAAGUGCCACAGAAAUGAAGACUGCCUGAUGAUUUAAUCAAAGGCGAUGGUGCAACGGUGAGUUAAGAGCUUCACCAGCGAUACUGAGAGGUAUCGGCUAGGUAAACCCCAAUCGAAUGCAAGAUUAAAUUGAAGGAUAUAAAGGUUGUCCGCCCACUUCAGAAAAAUCGCUAGAGAUUGAAAGUAAUUUCAAUACCAGACAGAUGAUUAUUUAGAAACAGAACACGGCUUAUGAGUUACUU